rnacentral:rRNA from 1 species
UAGGGAAUCUUCGGCAAUGGGGGCAACCCUGACCGAGCAACGCCGCGUGAGUGAAGAAGGUUUUCGGAUCGUAAAGCUCUGUUGUAAGUCAAGAACGAGUGUGAGAGUGGAAAGUUCACACUGUGACGGCAGCUUACCAGAAAGGGACGGCUAACUACGUGCCAGCAGCCGCGGUAAUACGUAGGUCCCGAGCGUUGUCCGGAUUUAUUGGGCGUAAAGCGAGCGCAGGCGGUUUGAUAAGUCUGAAGUUAAAGGCUGUGGCUCAACCAUAGUUCGCUUUGGAAACUGUCAAACUUGAGUGCAGAAGGGGAGAGUGGAAUUCCAUGUGUAGCGGUGAAAUGCGUAGAUAUAUGGAGGAACACCGGUGGCGAAAGCGGCUCUCUGGUCUGUAACUGACGCUGAGGCUCGAAAGCGUGGGGAGCGAACAGGAUUAGAUACCCUGGUAGUCCACGCCGUAACGAUGGGUGCUAGGUGUUGGAUCCUUUCCGGGAUUCAGUGCCGCAGCUAACGCAUUAAGCACUCCGCCUGGGGAGUACGACCGCAAGGUU